UACGUAGGGUGCGAGCGUUGUCCGGAAUUAUUGGGCGUAAAGAGCUCGUAGGCGGCUUGUCGCGUCGGAUGUGAAAGCCCGGGGCUUAACUCCGGGUCUGCAUUCGAUACGGGCAGGCUAGAGUGUGGUAGGGGAGAUCGGAAUUCCUGGUGUAGCGGUGAAAUGCGCAGAUAUCAGGAAGAACACCCGUGGCUAAGGCGGCUCUCUAGUACGGUACUGACGCUGAGACGCGAAAGCGUGGGGAGCGAACAGG
rnacentral:rRNA from 1 species